rnacentral:rRNA from 1 species
GGUACUGUCGGGCCAUCAGCGGAGUUAAUACGAAGGGGGUAAGCGUUAAUCGGAAUUACUCGGCGUAAAGUGGGCGGAGGUGGGUCAUGAAGUUGGAGGUGAAAUCCCCGGGCUCAACCUGGUAACUGCCGCCAAAACUACUGAGUGAGAGUACGGUAGAGGGUAGUGUAAUUUCCUGUGUAGCGGUGAAAUGCGUAGAUAUAGGAAGGAACACCAGUGGCGAAGGCGACUACCUGGACUGAUACUGACACUGAUGUGCGAAAGCGUGGGGAGCAAACAGGAUUAGAUACCCGAGUAGUC